AUGACUUCCUUUUUGAGAGCAGACAUUAGCGGCCAUAAACCUACGUCGAAAUCUCGUCCAAGUCCCGAUCAUUUUCAAGAACAGUUUUUCAUGGAUGAAGAAAUAAAAAGUCAGCAAGAAGAUAUGACAAAAACUCCAAGCUGUUUGUCAAAUAGUAAAGAAGAGUCUCCAAAUCGAGUUCAGAGAUGGAAAGAAGCCCUUGGUCAAGCUGCCGGACUUGCAGAGUUUGUAGUGCUAAAUUCCAGACCAAAAUUCAAUCAAACAAAUUAUUUUGAAAAGAAAAAAAUAACUUUUGGGUAA